CUCCUACUUCCCUCUGACAACCUGCUUCAGUGGUCUUGGGGGCUCAGGGACCCACUGCCUUGUCAGGCUCUGACUGGCUUCUACUCCAAGUGUAAAUCAUUGCAGUUGCUACGGUACUAAGAUCCAGCUUUAGUAAUCACAUAUGGAGAGGCCUCAAGAACAGGAGAGAAUGUACUUCGAGGACAGAAAUGACAGACUAUGUAGCAGAAGAUGUGGCUGGUUCCAGUUGUGUUCACCUGGAAGAGUGCAUCGUUCAUAUUCCACUGGAGAAACAGAGGGAAGUCCAUCAGAGAGAAUCGCUUUCAAUUCUUCUUUGUAAAGACUCAUCCGUUUUGAUAAUAAACUGGACAAGCA
rnacentral:lncRNA from 1 species